AUUGAACGCUGGCGGCAGGCCUAACACAUGCAAGUCGAGCGGAGCGGCGGACGGGUGAGUAAUGCCUAGGAAUCUGCCUGGUAGUGGGGGAUCAAGUCCGGAAACGGGCGCUAAUACCGCAUACUAUCAGAUGAGCCUAGGUCGGAUUAGCUAGUUGGUGGGGUAACGGCCUACCAAGGCGACGAUCCGUAACUGGUCUGAGAGGAUGAUCAUGCACACUGGGACUGAGACACGGUCCAGACUCCUACGAGAGGCAGCAGUGGGGAAUAUUAGACAAUGGGCUAAAUCCUGAUCCAGCCAUGCCGCGUGUGUGAAGAAGGUCUUCGGAUUGUAAAGCACUUUAGGUUGGGAGGCGUUACCAACCGAUUAAGCACCGGCUAACUGCGGGCCAGCAGCCGCGGUAAUAC
rnacentral:rRNA from 1 species